UGAAAGUGGAAGCAACAGGAAACAAGAAGAUAUGUACCUCUAUCAGAUGUGUUGCACAUGCCCAUUCCACAUGGCUCGAGCUGCCCAAUGGGUACUGCUGAAGGAAAGGCUUCCAAUGGCUGUGGGAUGGGCACACAGACACCAAAAGUGGAAUGUACAAUCACUUGAACCAGGAACAGCCAGGGUAACAGAUCUCAAGAACUGAUGAACAGCAAUAAGAUAAAAUGAAGAUCCCAGCCCCCUUCCUCCCCGCCCCCAUUAGCUGUUCCAGCACAAGAUUUAGACCUGAAGAUUCUGCUAUCAGAGAGAUUUGAUGGGAACUGUUGGAAGUUUGUGGGUUCCUCAGUCAGCAUUACCAGCUGUUCCUGUUUUGGCCAGUGAUGUA